GGGGGCAUGGUUCAAGUGGUAGAGCAUCUGCCUAUGAAGCACAAAGCCCUGAGCUCAAAUCCUAGUAACGCCA
rnacentral:tRNA from 1 species